rnacentral:lncRNA from 1 species
UUUAGGCUUUCUUACUAGGGGUUUAUAGUAGGUGCUAUCAUAGCCUGAUUUUGAGUCAUGACAUUGUAUUUUGCAAUCGACCACUUUAAUCCCAUAAAAGGGUGUAGUUCGAGUGACAUCAAAAUUCCAGCGCUGGUGUUGGCAAGUGUAGCUUAGAGAUUUAGAAUUUGUAGAAAUUCAGUGAGUAGCUUUUAUUUACUUUUUCAAAUUACACUUGUUAUUGUUUUUUGUCCAAUGUAGGAUUUU